GGGGCAAAGGAAUGGAAUGAUCCUUUUUUUAAAUCAUUUCAUUCUGGGCCGGCAGUAAACCUAUUCUCGAACAAAACAGAGGGACAAGUCCAUUCAAUUCUCUUCUCUACUACCGCACAAAAUCAACAUAUACAGAAAAUGUCCGGCGAUUCUCAGCAAGCUUCGAACUCUACCGAAUCUGCAAUCAUCAACGAAUAUGUUUCGUUUUCAUUGAUCUACCAUAAUCAACGAUUCUUAACAUUUUCAAACCUCUAUCUAUCUAAAUAAACAGUUUUGUUGAAUCAUAUAUCUUUGCUGGUGGGGUUUCAACUAUUCUGAACUGGGGAAUUUUCUUCUUGAGAGGUGGUUUGUGGUGGAAACAGUUGCUUUUUACAGAUUCAUCGAGAACCUUGGCAUUUUGUACUGAACCACCAAGUAACCAGGACGGUCAGUUAUCAUUUAUCAACCAUGAUGAGAGACUACCAUCAGAGAAGCUGUGCCACUUUUUAUCAUCAUGAUGGCGAUGCUAUCAGUUAUGAAUCCUCAAGACACUUUCAGCAAGACUUAAUGAUGCAGCGAGGAAUAGAAAAAAAUAAAAAGAUUGCAUCUUCAUCAGAAAUUCAGAUAGAUAUGCUCUCACAAAGCGUUUUUCAGAUAAUACCCCUGGAUUCCAGGUUUACUAGUCCAUCCAUUGGCUGUCAAACUAAUGUUGUGUAUGAAAAUGCCUAUCGUGCCUUUGGUGGGGUUCCUGUUCCUCAGACGUAUCCUUAUCUUCCUCCAGAUUAUUCACCUGCAAUCUUUAACAAGGGAUCCAGCUCUCAGGAAACUUUUGUAUGCAAACAUGAAUCUCUACCUCUCAAUCACCAACCAGUGAGAGCAUCCUCAUCUUAUAGUGCUUACCAAAGCUCGAGCUCAAACUAUGCUGAAAAUUCUGGGAUACAUAGCCUGCAGGUGUUGUGGUUCUCCAAUGUUCUCAUAUUCAAUUCCCAGGUUUUGUAUUUUAUUUGUAAAUUAUGAAGGAGAAUUGGUAGUGGCUAAAGUUUGGAUUUUAUUUGUAAACUUUAUAAUAUUUAUUAUAGUUGAUUUAGGUACUAAUAAUUUAUGUAAUGAAAUGGGAAGUAUUCUAUUGAAAUGAAAUUAAUUAAUUCGUGUAUUUAAUACAUAAA